UACGUACCGCACAAACGUUAUCCGGAAUUACUGGGCUUAAAGCGUGCGUAGGCGGCGCGGAAAGUUGGGUGUGAAAUCCCUCGGCUCAACCGAGGAACUGCGCUCAAAACUGCCGUGCUUGAGGGAGACAGAGGUGAGCGGAACUGAUGGUGGAGCGGUGGAAUGCGUUGAUAUCAUCAGGAACACCAGUGGCGAAGGCGGCUCACUGGGUCUCUUCUGACGCUGAGGCACGAAAGCCAGGGGAGCGAACGGG
rnacentral:misc_RNA from 1 species